rnacentral:rRNA from 1 species
UACGGGGGGAGCAAGCGUUGUUCGGAUUUACUGGGCGUAAAGGGCGCGUAGGCGGCCUGUUAAGUCGAACGUGAAAUCCCCGGGCUCAACCCGGGAACUGCGUCCGAUACUGGCAGGCUUGAAUUCGGGAGAGGGAUGCGGAAUUCCAGGUGUAGCGGUGAAAUGCGUAGAUAUCUGGAGGAACACCGGUGGCGAAGGCGGCAUCCUGGACCGAGAUUGACGCUGAGGCGCGAAAGCCAGGGGAGCAAACGGG